UACCCCCUGAAAUAGUUGUUACCUGCAUCUUUCAAGAAAUAUAACACAUGGAAAUAUAUAGCCUAUAUGUCCUGGGUAAGACAAAUGUUGUGCAAAGCAGGAAAGCCAAAACAAUCUCUGUGAACACUUAGGAAAUAAUUUUUAAUAUAUGAGUAAGAUGUAUAGAGCUACUCCCCAGACAAUUCCCAAACCUCCUG